rnacentral:rRNA from 1 species
CGGCCGCGUCGACACGCUGGCGGCGUGCCUAAUACAUGCAAGUCGAACGAGUUCUGAUUAUUGAAAGGUGCUUGCAUCUUGAUUUAAUUUUGAACGAGUGGCGGACGGGUGAGUAACACGUGGGUAACCUGCCCUUAAGUGGGGAUAACAUUUGGAAACAGAUGCUAAUACCGCAUAAAUCCAAGAACCGCAUGGUUCUUGGCUGAAAGAUGGCGUAAGCUAUCGCUUUUGGAUGGACCCGCGGCGUAUUAGCUAGUUGGUGAGGUAACGGCUCACCAAGGCAAUGAUACGUAGCCGAACUGAGAGGUUGAUCGGCCACAUUGGGACUGAGACACGGCCCAAACUCCUACGGGAGGCAGCAGUAGGGAAUCUUCCACAAUGGACGCAAGUCUGAUGGAGCAACGCGCGUGGGGAANAGGCUCUGGGUUGUAAACCCCUUUNCUAGGGAGAAAGUUGUGAAAGCAACCGUGACGGUACCAGAGGAAUCAGCAUCGGCUAACUCGUGCCAGCAGCCGACGGUAAGAAGUCGUGGGAACGG